rnacentral:lncRNA from 1 species
GCCCAGGACUGGAUGUUCAGCACUAGCUUCUUCUUGCUUCAUGCUCCCAUCAGAGGACUGCUGUGUGCCGUGGUUGCCCCAGGGAGCUGAAGAUUUGCAGCCACCCAUGUGCUCCCAGCCAUCGAGGAGCAGUGAGAUCAGGGCUGCUCUCACAAGAAGGUGAAGCCAAGGUGGGACCUAUACCCUCAGCAUCCAACCAAGAUGGACACAACCUAGAGUCCAGGUCAUAUGGCAACACCAUGGUGAUGAUGG